rnacentral:rRNA from 1 species
GACGUAGGGCGCGAGCGUUGUCCGGAUUUAUUGGGCGUAAAGAGCUCGUAGGCGGCUUGUCGCGUCGUCCGUGAAAACCUGUGGCUCAACUGCAGGCUUGCGGUCGAUACGGGCAGGCUGGAGUUCGGUAGGGGGAGACUGGAAUUCCUGGUGUAGCGGUGAAAUGCGCAGAUAUCAGGGAGGAACACCCGGUGGCGAAAGGCGGGGUC